UGGCGGCCGUAGCGCGGUGGUCCCACCUGACCCCAUGCCGAACUCAGAAGUGAAACGCCGUAGCGCCGAUGGUAGUGUGGGGUCUCCCCAUGCG
rnacentral:rRNA from 2 species